UACGGGGGGGGCAAGCGUUGUUCGGAAUUACUGGGCGUAAAGGGCUCGUAGGUGGCCAACUAAGUCAGACGUGAAAUCCCUCGGCUUAACCGGGGAACUGCGUCUGAUACUGGAUGGCUUGAGUUUGGGAGAGGGAUGCGGAAUUCCCGGUGUAGCGGUGAAAUGCGCAGAUAUCGGGAGGAACACCUAUGGCGAAGGCAGCUCGCUGGGACGUUACUGACGCUGAGACGCGAAAGCGUGGGGAGCAAACAGG
rnacentral:rRNA from 1 species